rnacentral:lncRNA from 1 species
CUCCUGGUCUGCGGAUUGCGAAGACCAUGGGGAAAGCACAGUAUCUGAGCCAGAGUGCAUGCUUCCUCACGGGACAGUCCCUCACGGCUUCCCUUGGGUAGGGCAGGGAAUUCCCCGACCUCUUGCCCUUCUCAGGUGAGGCAACGCCCCACCCUGCUUUGGCUCAUCCUCUGUGGGCUGUACCUACUGUCCAACCAGUCCCAAUGAGAUGAACUGGGUACCUCAGUUGGAGAUGGAGAAAUCACCCACCUUCUGCGUCGAUCUCGCUGAGAGCUGCAGACCAGAGCUGUUCGUAUUCGAUCAUCUUACCAGCAAAUUCAGGACCAUUUUUAUUUAACAAGACAAUAAAGAAACCAUGCUCAAGCUAGCAUUUAGCCAGAGGCAGAGAGUACCCAGCACAUUUAGUGCUGGCUGUUUAGAAUACAGAGGACAAUAGACAACUGAUUGAGGUAGUUUCUCGUGUCAAAUCAGUGUAAUCUUGAGCAAGUUCCUUCCCUUCCCUGGGCCUCUGCUUCCUGAUCUUCAAAGCAGGAGAGUUGGAUGAAACACUUUCUGUGUGUCUUGCAGUGUUGACACUUGUCAUUGCUGUGACUUUACUGUGAAGACAUCUCAUUGUUUAGUGGAGGAAGCCAAGUGCCCUCCUGCCACCCCAUGGGGAAACACAGCCACCAGAAAGAGGAGGGAGAGGUGGUGUCUGGGGAGAUGGAGGAGUCUGACUGCAGAGUUAGCCCUGGGGUGACUAUAGGAUUAACACGAGGCUCUCCAGUAAGGGCUCAUUACCCCUUGAUGAAACUCAAAUGUCAUCAUGGGCACUCUGUUCUUACAGGAUGGUAGCUCUUGGAAUCUCAGAAGUUGGUAGAGUGGAUAUCUGGCUUUGGAAGGAGAAGGUCCUUUCUCCUUAGGGGAGACAGCCAUGCACAUGAUCCGUAGAACACGGAGGGUCCAGAGAUCUGAGAACUAAAGUUUAUGCUUUGCAAACUGUAACAGUGUGAUAAAUAUGAAUUAUUAUCAACAUGAUUCUUGCUAUUAUUAAAUCCUCACACUGCAAUGUUAACUGGUUCAUGUUUCAGCCCCAGCUCAGCCACUAGUUGGCUGUGUGAUCUCAGACAAGCCAAGCUCCAUCUCUGAGAUAUAGCUGCUUCAUUUGCAAAGUAAGAAGGUAGACGUGCAUGAUCAGCUGAAGAUGCUUCCUGCCUCAAUCCAGUAAGUGUGAUCAAGAUGUUGAAAUUAGUGGUUGAACAAUCAGUAAUCAGAAGCUCACCUUUCAAAAAGAAAAAGGCCAGCUGGAAAAUGACAUAAUUAAAAGAGGAAAAGAAAACUCUUUCUCAAGAGGCUGCUCUUUCACAAACAGUCAGCAUGUCUGUGAUAUUCCGUGUAGCAUAUUCCGAUGACAGGGAAACACAGUGGAUGUGCUGAAAGAUGAGCAGCAAGUGGUAAGUGGAGGUGUUUGAAAUAGAAAAGUCUAUUUUAAAAGACGACUAAUAAAGCUGGAGGAGGCGGCCCACACUGAAGCAGUCUGAGCCAACAUCCUGUUGCCAAGACUCCAGUCCCCGCUGCUGUGCCCGGGGCCCUGGGACUGUCCUUGGCACAGCAUGUGAGCCAGUAGGAAGGAGCAGAGGCUAGAAGCAGGGGCUGGGUUUCUGUCUGAGGAAAGGGGCCCAUGGAGAGGGGCCCCAGGGAAGGGGCUGCCUGUGGCUUUGGCAGAGGAGACCCCUGCCCUUCCUGUGACCCCAGCCAGCUCCAGGCAUGGUAGGGGGAUGGGUACAUUUCUCUAGGCGCAUGCAGGAGCUGCACCGGUGCUGGGAAGAAGCAACAACACAACAGUUAAGAGCGGAGACCUAGAGCCAGACCGAGUUUGAAUCCCGGCUUGUAUCACUUAAUAGCUGUGAGACUGUAAACAAGUUACUUAACCUCUCUGUCUGUCAUCUUUUCUUGUCUAUAAAACUUAAUAAUAUUAGCUAAUCAUAGGGUUGCAGCAAGGAUGUAAGUUAAUUUUGUAAAGGAUUUGGGACAGGGCAAACAGUACACUAGAGAUUGUGUGUAUUUUAUAUACAUAUAAAAUAUCUUAUGUUUAUUAUAUAUAAUAUAGCUAUUAUAUAUUACAUAUGUAAUACAUAUAUAAUAUAGACAUUAUAUAUAUGUAUUAUAUAUAUAAUAGAGGGAUAUAUAUGUAUACAUAGAUGCAUAAAAUGUGGCCUAUGAGUUGGGCCCACCCGUUUCUUGGGCAGAGGUCCAAGGCUAAUCAGUGCCCUUGGUCUUCAAGUAAAUAAUGAAGCUCUGAAAGCUAAUCUAUGCUAACACCCUCAAGGUCCCGGUAACCCCUCUCUGGUCUCCUCUGAGCAUUAGGCCAGAUCUGCAGGAGGAGAUGCUCAGGCAGCCCCAAGCCACAGCUUAGGACUGACCAGACUUCUCCCUGAGCUCCAGGCCCAUAUACCCAACUGCCCAGUGAAUGUUUCUACUGGGAUAUCCACAGACAUCUCUACUCAUCAUGCUCCCAAACCUACUCAUGACCCAAUUCCUUCCAGUGCAGACCUUUCCUUGUUUCCAGUCUCAGUGAAUGACAAUACCUGUGGGGAAAAGCAAGAGAGAUCAGAUUGUUACUGUG